AUCCAUCCUGCAAAAAAACGAGCACCAUGUCACACCCACCUUCUCCAGAAAAGGCUUCCAGGAUUCCUGGGGAGAACAAAAGUACCCUCAAGGAAUUCACUUUCUUUGAGGAAGCAGAUAAGGAAGGCCACAGGAAAACCACCUGCCUUCCACAAGGAAGGGGGUGGUGACAGGCAAGGUGUGACCUGGGUACAGUAACCUGAGGAGUGAGACAGCCAGGUGCACACCUGGGAAGAGGGCUGCAGGUAUGAACACCAGCAAGUGUGAAAGCCCUGGAGCAGGAAAGUGAGAAACAGAAAAUGCACCAGGAGGAGAGUGGAGAAGGAUGAAGAUAGGGGGGUGAGGUCUGCUUCCGCCACAGCCCUUAUGGACUGUAACCAGACAUCUGUAGACGAUACUACCCAAACUAAGCUUCAGUACUCCCAAACCAGGACUGAGAAUCACUCUUCUGUCUUCCCACUGUUAAGCACAGUGCAUCUCAGAAAAUGCAGUGUCUAACAGAGAAGUGGACAUCAAGGGGAUUUGAUAAUCACAGUCCUCUGGCCUCUGCACAAACUCUGGGCUUAAGAGAAGACCCCGGACCCUCCCUCUGCCCCUACAAAGUCCUUCAGCCUCCAAGGUACGGAGGCCUCUGGCAGCUCCCCAGCUGCCGUCCUGCCAGAGCGCGGGUGGCCACCCGAGACCAGGGGUCGGGCGCCGGUGGGAGGCCCCCUACAGUCCGCCCAGGGCAGCACUGGGCACGCGCGAGCACGUGCGUACCCGGGGCGAGCCCGGCGCGGGCGCAUCACGGCGGAGCCGCAGAGCCCGGAACGGGGAUGCGCGCGCACUUACGCGGCCGCCUCGGGUGCCUGUCUGGGAAGGUGACCCGCGCGAUUCCCGCCGGACUCUCGAGCGAGAAAGCGGAGCCCCGGCGCCGUAGCCCACAGAGGGACCGCUCCGCCGCAGCAGCCCACCGCUUUCCGCGUCGGCAGGAAGUGCUCCCCGAGACAGGAAGUCCCGCCCCCGCGCGUCCUCGAGCGCCGCCUGCCGGGCAGAGGGUAGACGUGCGUGAAGGCUGCGCGUGGGCGGUAGAGCGAAGUCCGCGUCCCCGCCCGCGCUGGCGGCCGAGUGGACUUGGAUUCGAAUCCCAGCUCGGCUUCACCAGCUUUCUAUCGCAUAGGUGGUUGUGAGGGUUAACGUGAUUCAGCAAACACUGAGCACGCACUCUGAGCCAGGCACUGCGCUGGCUUUACCAAUGGAGGGAGGGAGAGAUGCUCCGGGAGGAGGCGGCGCUGUGCCAGGGGCAGCCCGGCAGGGGGCGCUUCGGACAGCGGGUCUCCAACGUGAGCGUCAGCACCUGGGAGGUUGCCAGGUGAUGCUGACGCUGUUUGAGGGCCAGGCUUUGGGACUCAGUGUCCAAUCACAGAGCCACUUGCAGCGCCAGUUUAAACGGCGUCUUAAGUAGGUCUGGAAGGUGGCACUGUAGUUUGCAUUUCUAAAAAGUUCCCAGGUGAGGCUGAUAGUGCUGGUCCAGAACCACCGCCUUGAAGGAUCAACUUGCAGAUUCUCAGCUUCCAUCCACACGGGUUCUAUCAGGGAGUUCCUUGGAGUCAGAUGGUCCUUUUCCGUCUUCCCUUUCCCAGUCGCUGUGUUCCCUUCACGGAGCAUUGUCCGAGGAUGAGCACUGCACAAGAGGUUCUUCUCAACAGCAGACCUCCUACAGGGGGUAUUAAGUAAACAAGUUCAGCAGCAAGUGGGGACGGAAGGGUGCAGGAGGCGGGCUUUGGGGCCUGACGACAUCAUUUCUUCAUCUGAGCGUGGCUGGUCGUGUUCAGUCUGUGAAGACUCACUAAUAAUCUGUGUACUUUUCUAUAGGGAUGUUAUAGUUCCAUAAGAAGUCUUUUUGAAAGAGAAAAGGCCAUGCUGCCUUAUCAAGAUUUUGAACUUGGUCAGGCCAUGGCCUUCUUAGUUAUCUAAGAAACAGAUGAUGCUUCAUAAAUAUUGAAUUGAUAACAAAGAGAAUGAAAUGAAAGGGUCGUUCAGGAAAAAUAAAAAAAGAAAUUUAUUUAGACUGAACAAAAUGAAGUCAGGCUGUUUCCAGUAGGAAGUCUGAUUUAUCUGUCUUUUGACACUGAGAUGGGCUUUCCAAAUAAGUCACCUGGGCGUGAAUAUUUCAUAAAUGGGAUGAGCUUAUACAUCUCUAUGGUUUUGAGGAAAUGUAAAGGAUGAUUUUAAAGAAUUACAGCUUUUGUAACUGUUUCAAUUUGUGAUUAAAAAUUGGGGCUACACAGGUUUUCAGAAUUAUUUUAGGGAAUAUGUAUGCAAAAUAACUGAAGACCAGUUAGAUCAGUUUCCUACUAGAGCUGUACCAAGUUGCCACAGCCCUAACAGCUUAAGACAGCAUGGUAUGUUACAGAUCUGGAGGUCAGAGGUCCAACACACAUCUCACGGGCUAAGUCAGGGUGUCCGCAGGUCCGUGUGCCUACUGAGGCUCUAAGGGAAGGAGCCAGUGGUCUUGCCUUCUCCAGCCUCCGGAAGCCACCUGCAUUCCUAGGCUCAGUCCCCUUUCAUCCUCAAAGUCAGUAUGGCCUCUUGACUCUUUCUCAUGACUCUUUAUCUCCCUGUUGCCCAUUUAAGGACUCCAUUGAUCAUGUCCAGAUAAUCCCCUAUUUUAAAGUCAGCUAAUUGCCCCUUGCCAAAAAACAUAUAUUAGCAGGUUCUUAGGAUUAGGAUGUGGACAAUCUGUGUGUCCAAUUGUAUUCCCUCCUUUAUUCUUUUCUCUGGGUUUUAACCAGUUUGUCUUCACUAACAUAUUUACCAUGCAGUGAAGUGCACACGUCUUCAGUGAGCAGUUCAUUGAGUCUCUACCCAGGUAUAAACUCAUGUGAUCACCUCCUGGAUCAAGAGAGACCAUGGUCACUCAAGAAUAUCCCCUGGAGCUGCUGACCAUCAAUCCCUCUUUCACAGAGUAACCACGAUUGUGACUUUUAUCACAAUUUUGCCAUUUCAAGAACUUUACAGAGUUGGAAUCAUAACAAUUUUGUGCAUGCAGCAGUACUUUCUUUUUAAGUAACUGUAAUCAAGGUUCACUUGAUGCUGUGGCUAUAUCCUUUGUGGCUUUGAAGUUUACGUUUCUUUCUUUUUCCCAAUGUUCUUUUCCCUCAACUUCUCUUCCCUGAUCUUCUUUUCCCUAAACUUCAUUCUGAACUCUCCUCCUUAUUCUCAUUUUCUCUGAUUCACCUCUAUAAAACCCUGUUCCUGCUGUUGGGGAAAAUCACAGUCUUUGGCACAAGAGUCCUGUGCUUCUCCUUUGCUAGCAAAGCAAUAAACCUUUUCCUUAAGA